rnacentral:rRNA from 1 species
GACGAACGCUGGCGGCGUGCCUAAUACAUGCAAGUCGAACGCAGUGGGGACGGGUGCGUAACACGUGGGUAACCUCCCAUCAGAGGGGAUAACACUUGGAAACAGGUGCUAAACCGCUACUGAUGGAUGGACCCGCGGUGCAUUAGCUAGUUGGUGCGGUAACGGCUCACCAAGGCCACGAUGCAUAGCCGACCUGAGAGGGUGAGCAGCCACACGGGGACUGAGACACGGCCCAGACUCCUACGGGAGGCAGCAGUAGGGAAUCUUCGGCAAUGGACGAAAGUCUGACGGAGCAACGCCGCGUGAGUGAAGAAGGUUUUCGGAUCGUAAAACUCUGUUGUUAGGGAGGCGGUAUCUACCCAAAAAGCAACGGCUAACUACGUGCCAGCAGCCGCGGUAAUUC